rnacentral:tRNA from 1 species
GGAGGGUGUAGCUCAGUGGUAGAGCACAUGCUUCACAUGCAUGAGGUCCUGGGUUCAAUCCCCAGUGCCUCCA